rnacentral:lncRNA from 1 species
GGCAGUCCAGCCGCAGGGGCCACCCGAACAGUCUCUCCUCCUCACAGAAGCCUGCUGGGCAUCCAAGAAGAAGCAGCCUCAUUUGUUUUCUGGUGUCAUCGUAGGUGGCCACCUAUGGCUUUUGGGCUUCUCACCUGGGGCGGGUGGGUUCUGCACCACCCUCCCACCCUCCUUCCUCCGUGUGGACGAUAGAGCCACAUCCAGCACCACGGACAGCUCCCGGGCGACCAAAAAGAAGAAUGUACUUCAUCUGGUUGGGCUGGAUUCCCUCUGAUAAGCCUUCCCAGUUGACUGAAAGAUGAGGCUAGGCUCUAGCAAGUUGAAGUCAAACCAGCUCCUUCAAGAAGCUUUGAGCAGAAUGAAGUGGGGAGGACCCAGCUUCCAGCCCAGGAAGCCCACUGUACCUGGAGCCAUCUGGGAUAAGACUUUGACCCAUGACUCCCAUAUCCACAGCCUGUCCAUCCUAGCCCAUCCCAGUUUAUCCUGUAUCAUUUGAGCUGGGAUUCCCACAUCCUCUGAGUUGGAAGUCCCAUCUCAAGUCUUCAAUAAAGACUCUUGAAUAUUGAAUCACA